CGGGGUCUGAGGGUCAGCGUGGGGCUAGGAUGGGGGCCUCUGGAUCAGGGUGGGGCCAGGGGUGGAAUCCUGGGCUCUGCCCCCAGCUCCCUGUGUGACUUUGGGCAGGUUGCUACCCCCACCACUCUGGUCCUUGGUUCAUAAGAUGGUUGGGUAGGGAGGUGUGUGGGAAAUGCUUUUGGUUUUGAUUAUAAAAUAUCACUCAUCUAAAGCACAUCUAUAGGCAACUUAAAGAAAAGAGAAAGAACGCCUAUGUUAAGCACACCUGGCUUAAGAAAUAACGUUCCCAGGACCUUUGAAGCCCCUACAGGCACUGCCCCAUCCUGUCCCCUCCCCAGAGGUAACCGCUUUCUCAAAUUUGGUUUUCCUCCUUUGCUUUGCUUUGCUUUCUAUGUACAAACCCCUCGGACAAUGCUGCGUUUGUUCUGCACGUCCACAGAACGGAGCUCCAGGCAUUCUGAGAGUCGCCUGCACUGCCCAGCACGUCGUCGGGGACCCGUCCACAUAGACGAGGGCACACAGGGUUCCGCGUGUGCCGUCCCUCAGCGUACUCACCCUGUCUCCUGUUGAUGCAACUUUGGGUUGUUUCUACUUUGGGGUCUUCCUCGGUUCUGAUCUAUUUUUGCUGUUUUGCCCCCGCCUCGUGGUGCUCGUUGCACCGCUGUCUCCCGGUUGCACAUCUUGGAGGAAUUACUGAGUCCGGGGGACAUGUGCCUUCACCUUGCUGCACAACAUCAAAGUUACUCCCAAGGGGUUCUUCCUAUGUCCAUUCCCACAGCAGAAGAUAAGUGCUUUCUGUCCGGUAUCCAUGAUGACACUUUGUUUCCUCAGAUCUUUUCAUUUUUGCUGGUCCAGUCAUUGUGAAAAACAAAACCAGACAAACCAGCAAAAUCUGACAACGAAUGGGGUCGGGCUUCUUGCAGAAGCUUGCGGGUUGUGACUCUCUUCUGUGAACGCUUAUCCGUGCACUCGCCCACUUUCUUUUGGGUGGUUUGCUUUUUUCUUGAUGAUUUGCAGGAUUGUUUACUUAUCCGAGGUACAAUUCCUUCAUCAGUUGCAAGAACUGCCAAGACCUCUUCCGGUUUGUGGCUUGCCAUUUGACUUUGUGUAUCGUGUCUGGGAAUGGCCAGAAGUUUUUACUAUUAAUGUACUCAAAUUGAUCAUCUUUUUCUUUGGUGCCAUUGACUUUUUAGCAACAUGGCUCUUUGUCCAAAAGAAGCCGCAUAUGGAUCCCAACAUAGAAUGCCCUCCCCCUUACAGGGCCAAUUUUUUUCCUUAAAGAAAAUUUCUUGGGCAAAUUAUCAUAAACCAAAGACCUCAUGGCCAUGGAGAUUAAUGUUACACAUUUUCAGUAGUUAAUAAAAUAAACAUAUAGUGCUCAGUGCUUUAAUAAUUGAAUCUUUUGCAACAAGAACAAAACCCAGAAAGGUUAAGAGAAACAAAAUCAGUGACAGUAUGGCAAACGCCACCCAAGGGUGCCAGUGCACGGUCACAACCUGGUCAGCACACGCUGCGAGGCCGGGCUCCAGGAUGGCUCUCCUCUGUAGCCGCUUUUUUAUUCUUCCAGAUAAAAUUAAGUUGAUUCCCUUUACAAAAUGAUUCUUUGCUUUGCAAAGUAAUUUCAGAAUAUUGGUAAAUAACAAGUUCUGGUUAUGCACUUAAAAUGCAGAUAUAUUUUUAAUCCAAGUUUCCAAGGAAAGUAACUUAGUAAAGCUUAGUACUUGCCUUAAAUAACCAAUGUAGAAACAACACCAAAUUCACAGUAUUUGGAAUGUUAUAGGACCUUGGAAUAUUUCAAUCCAAUUUCCUCAUUUUAUGAAAGAGGGAACUUCUGGAAAGAUCCAGCUUCUGGAGAUCUCGAGAUGGGGAAACCCACAGCAGGCUUCCAGAAGAUAAAGAGCUGCCUGGAAGCAGAGGGACGUAGGAAGUGAAGCCCCUCCACUUAGAUAGGCUGCUCACACGUGGACGGCUGCACGCAGCCGGCUCAGUCUGAGACCUAGAUCCAGGGACCAGUCCCUGCGGGUGCCUGACCUCCUGCCCCCUGGGCCCUGCUCGUGGGCCUGGCUUGGCAGGCCACCUGUGCCCAGUGCCCUUUGAGCCUGCCCUGCCUCACCUCCUCGACCUUCCCAGCAGCAGCGGGGCCCCAGCAGGAGGUGAGGGUCCCUGCCAGCACCCCCUUGACUUGCCUUCCACCUGGGUCACAUCCCAGCUGUCUGCUAAAAUCUGGAUGUGGCCAUUUGUCCUCUAGCCCGAUGGCUCAGCUUCCCUGUGAUGCUUGCCUGGAUGGGGGCCUGUGGAGGGUGGCGAGGGCACUGCCCCACGGGCCCCCCCAGCUUUUCAGCCUUGAGGCCUGAGCCCAAGGAGCCCGGGCCUGGGAAAGAAUCCAUGAAUCCUGCUUCCCCAGGAAGCCCCCUCCCAUGGCUGUUGCUGGUUCUUCAGAAUACUCCUUCCUGCUCUUUCCUACCGUCCAACCACACUGGGGCCACAGACACUCGGGCCCCUUCAUCCCUGUUCCUCCUUUUUUUGCCUCAUGUAGGAGAUGAAAUGACACCUCAGACCUGGUCCCGGAUGUUACCCAACCAAGUUUGUUUUGCCGGCUGCAUGAUUACCACACUCACCGAGCCACCGAGUUUGCAAAGAGAAAGGAUUUCAUCACAAGACAGGCAAGCGAGGAGACAGGAAAAUCAAUCUCGGAUGGCCUCCCUGAAAAUAGGGACUCAGGGAUAUUUAUGGGGCAGGGGGCAAGGAGGUCUGAAGUGCGGGGAUAGAUGACUGGAGGUGAGGAGAGCGAGGAAAUUGACGAUCUGCGCAGGCGUAGUCCAGCUUCAUGGCUCCUCACAGGACACAUGUUCACAAGAUGGCCGCAUCACCAGGAUUUGAGGGGGGGGUUUUCAGCUCCUUGACAUCAAAAAGGUCACUUGCUGAGCACUUGCCCUGCCCCGGCUGAUGGAUUGGUGGUCUCAACCGGCCUGAACUGGACAAGGGGCCUCAGUUCUCAAAAAAUCACUCAAUUCCUCAGUUGCUAAGAUGGUCAGUUGAACUGGCCCUGGAGGGCCGCAUCUACAUGGAUACUUCCUGGGAAAGCAGACACACAGGAGGGCUGGGGUGUCUGUCUAGAGAGAGGCUGUAAGGCCAAGCAGCGCAGCCUCUGGGGACCAUCAGCCACCCUUAGAAUCCUAGUCCUGCCGCUUACUGUCUGUGUGACCUUAGACAAUGACCUUCGCUGCUCUGUGCCUCAGUUUCCCUCUCUGGGAGAGCAAAAUGAAACGGUGUUUUCUCUAGGGCUCUUCACAUAGUUCCUGGUGCCCUGUAAGUACUUGUAGGGGUCGGUAAUUAUGCUCUCACAGAGCAGGAUUACCAGGGCUUUGCACACGGACCGGGCUCCCCGGGAGAGAGUGACUCCAGUGCCUGUCAUAGCAAGGGCCAACCCAGCCCCAGCCAGGCGGGCUCUCCAGAGACAGACGCCCCCAGGCUGACUCAUCCCACCCACAGCCCUGAGGUCUGCGCUCACCUUCUCCUUCUCUCCCCUGCCCUGGCUUCAGCUCGGAUGUCGCCCGCCCCCCACCCUGACUCCCACCCCAGAGGGAGGGCAGAUCCAGCCCACCUUGAGCCCCUUCCUCUCUCCCCUCAGCCCAGGGUGGGGUGCGCACAGCCCGGUCUCUGGCAGGACUAACUCUAGUGGAGUCCAGAUGGUCCAUCCAAGCCGGGAAUGUUCAACUUCCUGUUUUGUUUUCCGCCGGCAGUUCUAAACCAGAACUUUCUUUCCCAUAAAAAGUAUUUCUUCAGGUUACUGACUCUGUCACGCCAGUCUGAAAACCAGGGAAAUUUGAGACAGUUUUUAUUUGGAUCAAAAUUAAAAUGAAGACCUGCCCAAGGAAGCAGCGGAGGUUUAAAGGCCUGGGCUGGCCCGGGAUGGGGUUCAAGGCCCCCCUGAGGCACUAGCCGGCUGCCUGGCUUGGGGCAAGGGGCUCAGGGCCUCACUCAGUUCCCUCCGGCUUAAACAGGAGUAAAGACUUCUUCACUAACGGCUUGUAGAGACUAAACAAAGCGUUGCAGGAAACGGUUUCUAGCACACAGCCCGGUGUAGGAAAACACUCGACGUCCACAGAAACAAAACGUCUCCGGAGCCCAUGCCCCACCGAGAUUUCAGAGCCCGGUCAGACCAGAGAGCAGGACGAAGUGAGAAGGAAAAAUUCAUGAGACAAAAUUCAGGAAUUUUCCACGUCUUUGGAAGAACCACGAUUUGGACAAAGAAUGUGAAAUAUUCACCAACCUAUAAGAUCACCAUGACUCAUGGGGAAUUUUCUGUGGGAACUUAAAAAAAUGGAUGUGAUGCAUAUUGCUAAGAGAAAGAAGCCACUCUGAGAAGGCUACCUACUAUAGGAUGCCAACUCUAUAACACCCUGGGAAAGGCCUAACCAGGGAGAAAGAAGUGUGAUGCAGUGGAAAGAAUAUUGGAUCAGGUGACAUGGAACCCUGACAGGUCAUCACCAAUAGCCAAGUGGCCCUGGGCAAGCCCUCGUCCUCUGAGCCUUGUUUCCUCAUCUUUGAAAGGAGGGCGUCAAGCUACGUCAUUGCUCAGCUGUGAAAUGCUCUGACUCUACUAGAACAUUUCGGAAGGAUGAACUAGUGAAAGUCAGAGCUUCUCAGGAAACAGCCCUGUGACUAAAGCUCGGGGAAUGUGCCCUGCAAGCAGUUUAGUUCCAGGAACACCAGAGAGUAUAGAAAAUGCCAAAUCUCCCGGCCCGGGUCACCUUGACCGGCUAAUUCCAAUUUCCUCCAAAUAUCACUCGGGAGGCAACAGCAACCGAAACACUAAACCGCCUCUGGUCCCCACCAGCUGGUGGGGGUUUCUUCCCUUCUUGGCUCGACCUAGGAACUCAUAUUUUAUUCAUGAAAACGGAGGCCCUGGGAGGCCUCGGCAUAAACAGGAUGUAAAUAUUUGCGGGUGGUGGGGGAGAGGUGGUACUUGAACAGAGGCUGUACAAAGUGGGGACCUCCAGGACAAUGCUCACUUGGGGCCCGCCCACCUGCAUCUCCUCUGUAGCUUGGGGAGGGGGGCACGUGCAGGCUGUACCCCAGAUGGAGAUGGAUUUGGGACUUCAGUGCCCUCCAAGUGAGUCUGGCUGUUGCCUAACCUUCUGCUGCAUCCCAUUUGCCUGUUCGUUGGGGACCCUUCAUCCCCCUUCCUCAGCCUGAGACUUCGAUUUCUGGCUCUUGCAGAAGUGCCCGGCCUGUCUCCAGCCCCUCCCCUCCCCUUCCUGCACCUGGCCACUCCUGUUUCAGCUGUGUGGAGUUCCCCGCCAUCCCCAAACGGGCCCUUCUCACGGUGCUGUCCCUUUCCUUAUCUCCAGUUGCUCCGCCUGGCAUGACUUCCCUCUGAGCUCUUCCACUGGUCUCUAAGACCCCUCCAGAUCUUUGCAGGGGCCACACCCUUUCUGGAACCCCGGCCACCUCAUCUCUUGGGCUCUCCAAGGAGAAUAACUCCUGCUCAGCUAUCAGGGCCUGGCCUGGGUGUCACUUCCUCCAGGAGACUGUCCUUGAUGCUUCCCACUCCAAAUCUGGGUUCAAAGUCUCCCCUCCCCCACCCACGGCCUGAGCUGAAGCCCUUCCUCGUAUCCCACACUGAUAGGGCCCAGACUCUUCGGUCCUGUUCACUAAAUAAAUACUUUUUGAAUAAAGGAAUGGAUGGACGGAUGGAUAAAUGGAUGAAGAUGUGACUCAAUUAACACCUGUGUCUGUGGCCAUGUCUGUUGCCACCACCCCCGGAUGGAACCCUACACUUCGGCGCAUCUGCUCCAAGGACAUCAGACCCUGUCUUUUAGUGCCUUACACACACUCCGCCAGCCUUUUGUUUCUGCUUGUCUCUCCCCCGACCCCCACCACACAGCCUGUGCCCUGUAUCACCGCACCGAGGACAUUUCCUGGAAAAUAAUAAAUUUCAGUCUUGGUGGAA